GGCUUCUCUAUGUUGGUAAAACUGCUGGUUAUCAUAGCAGAACUCAGGAAGAAAUUCAUGAGUUGCUUCUGAGUUUUGCUGAAGCUGGGGCCAAUGUUGUGAGACUAAAAGGAGGUGACCCAUUGGUAUUUGGACGAGGAGGAGAAGAGAUGGAUUUUCUCCAACAAAAGGGAAUUCAAGUUAAAGUUAUUCCAGGUAUUACUGCAGCAUCUGGGAUAUCGGCGGAGUUGGGAAUUCCAUUAACCCAUCGGGGUGUCGCAAAUAGUGUUAGAUUUCUCACUGGUCACUCGAGAAAAGGAGGAACAGACCCACUUUUUGUUGCAGAGAAUGCGGCUGACCCUGACUCUACAUUAGUUGUUUAUAUGGGCUUGUCAACGCUUCCUUCCCUGGCCUCAAAGCUCAUACAUCAUGGGUUGCCAACUGAUACACCAGCUGUUGCCAUUGAGCGAGGAACAACACCUCAACAACGCAUGGUGUUUGCAGAACUGAAGAAUCUUGCUGAUGAUAUUGUAUCUCACCAGCUAGAGUCGCCAACUUUGAUUAUCAUUGGGAAGGUGGUAGCUCUUUCACCAUUAUGGCCACACUCCACUGAAGAGUCUCCUGUCUUGGUUGAGACCAAAUCUUCAAUCAACACAUUGCAAUAGGCCAG
rnacentral:misc_RNA from 1 species